rnacentral:rRNA from 1 species
GGAGGAAAGCAGGGGAUCGCAAGACCUUGCGCUUUUGGAGCGGCCGAUGUCUGAUUAGCUAGUUGGUGAGGUAAAGGCUUACCAAGGCGUCGAUCAGUAGCUGGUCUGAGAGGACGACCAGCCACACUGGGACUGGGACACGGCCCAGACUUCUACGGGAGGCAGCAGUGGGGAAUUUUGGACAAUGGGGGAAACCCUGAUCCAGCCAUGCCGCGUGAGUGAAGAAGGCCUUCGGGUUGUAAAGCUCUUUCAGCCGGAACGAAACGGUCACGGCUAAUACCUGUGACCACUGACGGUACCGGAAGAAGAAGCACCGGCUAACUACGUGCCAGCAGCCGCGGUAAUACGUAGGGUGCAAGCGUUAAUCGGAAUUACUGGGCGUAAAGCGUGCGCAGGCGGUUUUGUAAGUCAGAUGUGAAAUCCCCGGGCUUAACCUGGGAACUGCGUUUGAAACUACAAAGCUAG